GUACCCUCAAGCCCCCGGGUUUGGUGUUGGGGAUCGGCUCUGCCCUUCUGGGCGGUGCCGCCCCCGAAAUACAUUGGCGGUCUCGCUGCAGCCUCCAUUGCGUAGUAGCUAACACCUCGCAACUGGAACGCGGCGCGGCCAUGCCGUAAAACCCCAACUUCUGAA
rnacentral:misc_RNA from 1 species